rnacentral:lncRNA from 12 species
GAUACUCUUCAAAGCUCCCUUGUACAUCUCAUUCUCCAUCUCUUUCUUUUAAGUUUUUGGACAGUUUGUUGUUUGCCCCAACUAUUGUCACUGCCUCAGGCAACUGCUAUGUUGAACAAUUGCCACUGAUUGUUUUUGACAGGGGAAAAGGCUUUUCACAUUGAGUGAGCUCAGACUCAACUCAAAUAAAGGGAAGCCUUGUGAGUGUGUACAGGUAAUAGGGAAUUUUCCAUCUGGCAUCUGGGAUAGGAGAAAGAAGUGAGAACAACAGUGGAGAGGAGUCAAGUCCCAAGUGAUGAGGAAGCAGAACAUUAUCAAGUAUGUUCCGGGCAGGAAUGUGUGGGAAAGAUGAAAGAACCAACAAAAGAAACUGAGAAGAUGCCUCCCAGGAGAGAGGAAGAAAACCACAGGAGCUUGGGAGCCUGGAAGCUAAGUGAAUACAUGUUUUGAGGGGGAGGAAGUAAGCAACUAUAAAACAAAUGGUGCUAAUAAAUUGAGUAAAAUUUUUUUUUCUGGGAAGAACUAUAAGAAAUUGAUAAAAAGUAGUUAUUUUCAAGAAGAGGUUCUGGUGGAGGGGAAAGAGAAGGCUGCCACUUAUCAUAAUUUACCUUCUUCUGUCCGAACUUUCUAGCCUUGCAUAUAAAUUAUUCUGUUUUCCAAUAUGAAUGAUCUGGGAGGUGAGAUUACAGACAAUGUUUUGGUAUUUUUUUUAUUGGAGUUCGAUUUGCCAGACAUUUUUUCCAAAAUCUGUUUUAAAAGGGCCUCUUACCACCAACAACUUUCAUCACAUUCCAACUGAAAUUGCACAAGAAGAAAAUGCAAAUGGAAGAUUGCUCAGGAGAGCCACUUCUUACUGGGAAGAGAUCCUGCAAUUCACUGUGAUGAUUACAAGGUGAAAAGUUGACAAAAGGCAAUUUGAAGAUCGCUUUAACAAUUUACUGGAUUUUGGGCAGCCCGGUGGCUCAGAGGUUUAGCGCUGCCUUCAGCCCGGGGCCUGAUCCUGGAGACCCGGGAUGGAGUCCCAUGUCGGGCUCCCUGCAUGGAGCCUGCUUCUCCCUCUGCCUGUGUCUCUGCCUCUCUCUCUGUGUCUCUCAUGAAUAAAUAAAUAAAUAAAUCUUUAAAAAAUAUUUACUGGAUUUC